AAUAUUAAUUACGAAAGCAAAAAAUUAUGGCGGUAUUUAAAGCUUUUCAGAGGAAUUUGCUCUUUAAUGGAUAAAACACCUAGAUCUUACUUAAAUUAGCGCUUUUCAGUUUGUAUACCACUAUUAUAAUAAUAAUUUAUUAUUAUUAUUAAUAUUCUUGCAUUUAGAAAAAAAUUAAGUCAAGGUGCAGCAUAAAUUUAUGAAUGAAGUGAAUUACAUUUCUUUUAAGAAAAAAAAAUUGAAAUAAAACGUUUAGGAUUUGAUAGUAAAAUUAAAAUACAAAG
rnacentral:rRNA from 1 species